rnacentral:rRNA from 2 species
AGGGUCUCCGCCGCUCAGCGCCGGAGGUAACGCAUUAAGCAUUCCGCUUGGGGAGUACGACCGCAAGGUUGAAACUCAAAGGAAUAGACGGGGGCCCGCACAAGCGGUGGAGCAUGUGGUUUAAUUCGAAGCUACGCGAAGAACCUUACCAGGUCUUGACAUCUUGCGCCAACCCUAGAGAUAGGGCGUUUCCUUCGGGAACGCAAUGACAGGUGGUGCAUGGUCGUCGUCAGCUCGUGUCGUGAGAUGUUGGGUUAAGUCCCGCAACGAGCGCAACCCUUGUUACUAGUUGCCAGCAUUAAGUUGGGCACUCUAGUGAGACUGCCGGUGACAAACCGGAGGAAGGUGGGGACGACGUCAGAUCAUCAUGCCCCUUAUGACCUGGGCUACACACGUGCUACAAUGGACGGUACAACGAGUCGCGAACUCGCGAGGGCAAGCAAAUCUCUUAAAACCGUUCUCAGUUCGGACUGCAGGCUGCAACUCGCCUGCACGAAGUCGGAAUCGCUAGUAAUCGCGGAUCAGCAUGCCGCGGUGAAUACGUUCCCGGGCCUUGUACACACCGCCCGUCACACCAUGAGAGUUUGUAACACCCAAAGUCGAGU